CUCAGUACCUCACCGGCUCACCCAAUUUAGCGUCAAAAUCUGUCAUAACUCAUAGACCCAAUUUAAAAUUUUAGAUCUAGGGUUCCUCAGUUCCUCUUUAGUCUUCAUCGAUUCUCAAUUUCUCAAUUCCUGUCCACUCUCCAGUCUCAUAUGCGACAGUGUGACUGCAUCUGUGUCUCUGUGAGCUGCGAGCCUACGACGGUUCCUCUACGACUGCGUCUGUGCGAGUGUGCGACUGUGACUGCUGCCUUCUUCCUCAGGUUAGUGCUGCCUUCUUCCUCGGUUACAAGUAUUUCUGUUUUGAUUCUGUUGAGUGAUUUUUUCUCUUGUUUUGAAUACAAGCAGUGACAUUUUCGGCUAAAUCAUUCUCUUGUUUUGAAUACAAGUAUUUUCAGCUACAAGCAGUGCUUGUUUUGAAUACAAGCAGUGAUAUUUUCGGCUAAAUCAUUUUCUUGUUUUGAAUACAAGUAUUUUCGACUACAAGCAGUGACAUUUUCGGCUACAAUUUCAUCUUGUUUUUCUAUUUAUGUUGCUCUUUGUUUUGAAUGAUUUAUUUGAAUGAUUUAUUCUCUGCUUGGAAAAUUUUUAAUUAAAGAAGUUUCUCUCUGUGACUAUCUUUAACAUUCCAUUGUGUUUUCAUAAAAGAAGUACACUCCUUAAUUGUGUUUUCAUUCGAUUUUGUAUAGAUGGCAGAAGUUGAAAGUAGAGUAAGUGAGGUAGGUUCAUCUGAAAGCAAACCUACAAAUUCAGUUAGUCAAGACCCAAAAAAAGAAAAUCUGUACAAACUAGAUCACUUUCUUUGGAUCAUUUUGAAAAGUUUAAACAUUUUAAUGGAGAUGAUAGAGCAAAGUGUAAAUAUUGUGGUCGUGAUUAUAAGGCUAAUUCACGAUUGAAUGGAACAACAUCAUUGUAUACUCAUUUAAAGAAAUGUCCAAAAAUACCACGAAAAGUUGAUAGUACUCAAACACAAUUGCGUUUUCAAAGGGAUGGGCAAAUUAAUGGUGGUGUGCUUUGAAAUUUGAUCAAGAACUAGUUAGGAGGGCUUUAGUUGAGAUGGUAAUUGUGGAGGAAUUAUUUUUUAGCUUUGUUUAAAAGAAAGGCUUCAAGAAGUUUAUGAGCAUAGACCAACCUCAAUUUAAUGUUCCUUCUCGUAGGACAAUUACAAGGGAUUGUUUCCAAGUUUACAAUGAAGAUAGGCUUAAACUAAUGAAAAAUUUCAGAGAUGUAAAACCAAGAAUUUGCCUUACCACAGACACAUGGACUUCGUUACAAAGAAUUAACUAUAUGUGUUUGACGGGUCAUUUUAUUGAUAGAGAUUGAGUGUUGCAUAAAAGAAUACUAAAUUUUGGCCCUAUCUCUAGUCAUAAGGGUGACGAAAUGGCAAAAGGUUAUUGGUAAUCGUUUGCUUGAAUGGAAAUUGGAUAAGGUAUUCACUGUUACUGUUGAUAAUGCUUCUUCAAAUGAUGUCAAGGUCAAAGAAUUGUCUAAACAACUAGAUAUGUGGAAAACUAAUUCAAUGGGUGGUAUGCAUCAUCAUGUGAGAUACAUGGCUCACAUACUUAAUCUAAUUGUGCAAGAUGGUUUGAAGGAAAUUGAUAUUUCUGUAAAACGUGUUAGACAAGUAUCGAUGGGUGGCAACCAUCUUCAUGUGAGAUGCAUGGCUCACAUACUUAAUCUAAUUGUCAAGAUGGUUUGAAGGAAAUUGAUAUGUCUGUAAAACGUGUUAGACAAGCUGUUAGGUAUGUGAGAUCAUCUCUACAAAGGACCUUAAUGUUUAGGGAAUGUUGUGCACAUCAAGAGGUAGAAUAUAGUAAAAUAUUGUGUUUGGAUGUUCCUACUAGGUGGAAUUCCACCUAUUUGAUGUUGGAAACGACGCAAAACUUUGAAAAGGAUUUUGACAAGCUUUAUCUUUUUGAUGAUGGAUUUUCUUCUCAUCUUUGUACGCAUAUUGAAUGCUGCAGGUCCAUUUGUAUGUGAUGAUUGGGUGAAUGUGAGAAAUGUGAUAAAGUUUCUUGAAAGAUUUUACGAGCUCACUGAAAAAGUUUCAGGCUCACGUUAUGUCAAUUCUAAUUGUUAUUUUGAGGAUAUAUGCGAGCUUGAUAGUCAUUGAAAUCUUGUUUAGCUAGUGAUGAUACUAAUUUGAGUAAGAUGGCAGAGAAAAUGAAAGAGAAGUUUAAAAAAUAUUUGGUUGAACUUGAAAAGAUGAAUAAAAUGAUUUUCAUUGCUUCUGUAUUAGACCCUCAUAACAAAUUUGAGUAUGUUGGUUUUGCACGUGAGGAAAUGUUUGGGAAGGAACCAGGGAAAAAAUUAACUGCUCGAAGUGGAUGCUUAUUUGAAUUCUUUGUUUGGAGAGUAUCAAAAAACGUAUUCCAAAGGAUGUUAUCUUCAAUCAUCCCCAUCUAAAUCUACUUCAUUUGAUGACACAUCUGAUUCAUCUAAUGUGAAUGUGAGAACAAAAUCUGUGAGAAUAAAGCAAUUAUUGAAAAGGCAAAAGGAAGACUCCGGAAGUGUCGGUGCUAAAUCUGAGUUGGAAAGAUAUAUUGGUGAAAGACAAGAGACAUAUUCUGAUGAUUCUGAUUCUUUUAAAAUCUUAGAUUGGUGGAAAAUUAAUGCGCCUCGAUUUCUUAUUCUAUCUGAGCUAGCUCGUGAUGUAUUUGCCAUUCCAAUUUCAAGUGUUGCAUCGGAAUGUGCAUUUAGCAUAGGUGGCCGUAUUCUUGAUUCAUUUAGGAGUUCAUUGACUCAUCGGUUGGUGCAAAGUCUUGUUUUUGUUCAAGACUGGUUUAGAUGUGAUGGUACUCCUAUUAAUGUUGAAAAAGAUUUGGAGUUUCUUGAGAAAAUUGAACUUGGUAAGAUUUUCCGUUUAUGAGUGUUUUAGUAAAAAUUAGUUUACUUUUCAAGUUUAAAUGACACGUUAUCAAAUUAUAUUUAGAUAUGGCAACGAGCGGAAAAGAAACUUGCAUUAUUGAAAGAGAUACUAGCAUUGUUGAUGCAUAGUUUGAACAAGUGGUAGGUUUAAGAAUUUGCUUGUUUUGUGGUAUUUUUUUGUUAUUUAUAAUUUAAAAUAUUUUAUUAACUUGUGAUAUUUUUUUUGUAGGUUCAACUAUGCCUCGCGGUUCUAAAGCUAGAUCGUCUAUUUGGGAACAUUUUGAGUUAGUUGAAGUAAAUGAAGAAUCCCGCAAAGCAAAGUGACUUCAUUGUGGACGAG
rnacentral:lncRNA from 1 species